CUGGUUGAUCCUGCCAGUAGUCAUAUGCUUGUCGCAAAGAUUAAGCCAUGCAUGUAUAAGUUCACGCCUUCAUACGGCGAAACCGCGAAUGGCUCAUUAAAUCAGCUAUUGUUUAUUAGAUCUUACUCCUUACAUGGAUAACUGCAGUAAUUCUGGAGCUAAUACAUGCCAAUAUGCUUCAACUUCACCGUUGAGGCGGGUUUAUUAGAUCAAAACCAACCAGCUUUCGGGCUGUUGGGUUGAUGACUCUGGAUAACCGACCUGAUCGCAUGACCUUGCGUCGGCGACGUAUCUUUCAAGUAUCUGACCUAUCAACUGUCGAUGGUGGGUGACAUGCCCACCAUGGUGAUCACGGGUAACGGGGAAUCAGAGUUCGAUUCCGGAGAGGGAACCUUAGAAACGGCUACCACAUCUAAGGAAGGCAGCAGGCGCGCAAAUUACCCACUCUCAGCACGAGGAGGUAGUGACGCUACGUAACGAUGUGAGACUGUCUAUCAGGCCUCACAAUUGGAAUGAGUACAAUUCAAAUCCUUUAACGAGGAGCAAUUGGAGGGCAAGUCUGGUGCCAGCAGCCGCGGUAAUUCCAGCUCCAAUAGCGUAUAUUAAAAUUGUUGCAGUUAAAAAGCUCGUAGUUGGAUCUCAGGUGCGAGUCGUCGGUCCAGUCUUGUGCUGUGACUGUGCGUUCUCCGCCUUCAUCAGUCGUUAGACGCUCUGUGGUGCUCUUUACUGGGUGCUACGGAGUGCACGGCACGUUUACUUUGAAAAAAUUAGAGUGCUCAAAGCAGGCCAUUGCGCUUGAAUAGUCUUGCAUGGAAUAAUGGAAUAGGACUUCGGUUCUAUUUUGUUGGUUUUCGGACCCGGAGUAAUGAUUAAAAGGGACUGCCGGGGGCAUUUGUAUGGUGGUGUUAGAGGUGAAAUUCUUGGAUCGCCGCCAGACAAUCUACUGCGAAAGCAUUUGUCAAGAAUGUCUUCAUUAAUCAAGAACGAAAGUCAGAGGUUCGAAGACGAUCAGAUACCGUCCUAGUUCUGACCAUAAACGUUGCCGACCAACAAUCAGGGGUGGUUUGACUUUAUUGACCCUCCUGGCUGUCCCUGGGAAACCUACAGUAAGGUUCUGGGGGAAGUAUGGUCUCAAGGCUGAAACUUAAAGGAAUUGACGGAAGGGCACCACCAGGAGUGGAGCCUGCGGCUUAAUUUGACUCAACACGGGGAAACUCACCCGGCCCGGACACUGUAAGGGUGGACAGAUUAAAAGCUCUUUCUUGAUUCAGUGGGUGGUGGUGCAUGGCCGUUCUUAGUUGGUGGAGUGAUUUGUCUGGUUAAUUCCGAUAACGAACGAGACUCUGACCUGCUAAAUAGUAUGCUGGUAUCCGUACCUUCGUGGUGCUUCCGCCAGUACAGACUUCUUAGAGGGAUUCGCUGUCUUUAAACAGCACGAAAUAGAGCAAUAACAGGUCUGUGAUGCCCUUAGAUGUCCGGGGCCGCACGCGCGCUACAAUGACAGUAUCAGAGAGUAUGAAAACCUGGUCCGAGAGGAUUGGGCAAUCUUGGCAUUACCGUCUCCUCAGGGAUUGGGAUUUGUAAUUAUCUCCCAUGAACGAGGAAUUCCCAGUAGGCGCAAGUCAUCAGCUUGCGUCGAUUACGUCCCUGCCCUUUGUACACACCGCCCGUCGCUACUACCGAUUGAAUGUUUUAGUGAGGUCCUCGGAUCGAGUCCUUUGCGACGGCAACGUUGCAUUGGUCACGAGAAGACGAUCGAACUUGAUCAUUUAGAGGAAGUAAAAGUCGUAACAAGGUUUCCGUAGGUGAACCUGCGNNNNNNNNNNNNNNNNNNNNNNNNNNNNNNNNNNNNNNNNNNNNNNNNNNNNNNGCUGCUAUCACCNNCCCCNNNNNNCUUGUCUUUCUUCGUCUCCUUUGUGACUCCUUUAGGCCACUUUUUUCCUGUCUGGCCUGUUGGCCGUCGUCUCUCUCCUCUGCUCCCUACCCUCCCUCUGUCUGGACCUUGCUCCUCGGUGAUUUUUGUUCCGCCUCUGGCUCUUUUGUCCUCCCAUCAUCCCUCGCUUGCCCUUUGCCCUUGUUGUGUGUGUCUUCUUCCUGUUGCCCCCGGCCCGAUUCUCCCAGUCGCUUAUCCCCGCCGCCCUGCCUCGUUUGUGGCGGUGCCG
rnacentral:rRNA from 1 species